UGUCGGGUCCUGUGCGAUCUCAUGGUGUGAACCCUGUCAGGUCCGGAAGGAAGCAGCAGUAAGCGCAAGUUGGGAUGUGCUGCAGGGGCGCCUGACAACG
rnacentral:SRP_RNA from 1 species